AAUCCAAUUCGAAGCUGGUUCGAAAUAAUUUCGAAAGAAUGUCAAUCCCAAACUCUUUAGAAUUUUUGUACCAAAUCUAACUUGAAAUUUUAAACUCAAUUAAGCCUAAUUAAUUUAGAUCUAUCUAAAACUAAUUAGCACUUAAAUCUAAUCUUUCAUAUGCUCCAUAGAUCAUAGAUCAAAAAUUGUUCAUCUCCGGGAUCAAACCUGAACCUUAUGUGUAGUGCUAGCUAAAUAUAGUCAACUCUUCAAUCUCUUUUGACUCAUAACUAAAUUCUUAAUCAAGUUAGCUUAUAUGUUCAAUCAAAUCAAGUUCAUCUAAAUUAGACAUAUAAAAUUAAGUCAAUUCCUU
rnacentral:lncRNA from 1 species